AAGACCUUUGCGCUUUUGGAGCGGCCGAUGCCUGAUUAGCUAGUUGGUGGGGUAAUGGCCUACCAAAGCUUCGAUCAGUAGCUGGUCUGAGAGGACGGCCAGCCACACUGGGACUGAGACACGGCCCAGACUCCUACGGGAGGCAGCAGUGGGGAAUUUUGGACAAUGGGCGCAAGCCUGAUCCAGCCAUGCCGCGUGAGUGAAGAAGGCCUUCGGGUUGUAAAGCUCUUUCAGCCGGGAAGAAAAGGUUGCGAUUAAUAAUCGCAAUUUAUGACGGUACCGGAAGAAGAAGCACCGGCUAACUACGUGCCAGCAGCCGCGGUAAUACGUAGGGUGCGAGCGUUAAUCGGAAUUACUGGGCGUAAAGGGUGCGCAGGCGGUUUUGUAAGUCAGAUGUGAAAUCCCCGGGCUUAACCUGGGAACU
rnacentral:rRNA from 1 species